UACAGAGGUCUCAAGCGUUGUUCGGAUUCAUUGGGCGUAAAGGGUGCGUAGGUGGCGCUGUAAGUCGGGUGUGAAAUUUCGGAGCUUAACUCCGAAACUGCAUUCGAUACUGCGGUGCUUGAGGACUGGAGAGGAGACUGGAAUUCAUGGUGUAGCAGUGAAAUGCGUAGAGAUCAUGAGGAAGACCAGUGGCGAAGGCGGGGUCUCUGGACAGUUCCUGGACACUGAGGCACGAAGGCCAGGGGAGCAAACGGG
rnacentral:rRNA from 1 species